GAUGGACGCUGGCGGCGUGCCUAAUACAUGCAAGUCGAGCGAACAGAUGAGGAGCUUGCUCCUCUGACGUUAGCGGCGGACGGGUGAGUAACACGUGGAUAACCUACCUAUAAGACUGGGAUAACUUCGGGAAACCGGAGCUAAUACCGGAUAAUAUAUUGAACCGCAUGGUUCAAUAGUGAAAGACGGUUUUGCUGUCACUUAUAGAUGGAUCCGCGCCGCAUUAGCUAGUUGGUAAGGUAACGGCUUACCAAGGCGACGAUGCGUAGCCGACCUGAGAGGGUGAUCGGCCACACUGGAACUGAGACACGGUCCAGACUCCUACGGGAGGCAGCAGUAGGGAAUCUUCCGCAAUGGGCGAAAGCCUGACGGAGCAACGCCGCGUGAGUGAUGAAGGUCUUCGGAUCGUAAAACUCUGUUAUUAGGGAAGAACAAAUGUGUAAGUAACUAUGCACGUCUUGACGGUACCUAAUCAGAAAGCCACGGCUAACUACGUG
rnacentral:rRNA from 1 species